AUGGGUAAGCCUUUGGAUUUCUUCUGUGUGACAAACCCUGAAGGGACCUCUGUCCUCUUCCUUGUCUCUGUUAUGUGCUGCCUGGCUCAUGGGCAUGUCUUUAGAGACUCGCCUCGCCCUCAUUCUGGGGACAUGUUGGGCAAUAAUUCAGGAGCAACAGUGACAUGCCAUGGCUUCCCACAUCUCAUGGCAGGUGCAUGUCACCCAAUGGAGCCAGCCUCUUAUCCUUCACUUUUCAUUUACUCAUGCUUGAGCUGACGCACUUCCAAUACCAGGAAAGGGGAACUCGUGUCCUUGGUAUCCCCAAAGAGGAAGCGAAACAAACGAACAGAACAGUUUCAUUCAAGCAAAGAACAGACACGUCUCCGAGAAAUAUGACUAGUGCCUGCAGUUAGCCCGCCUUCUAAAAUGAGAACAGCACUCUGCCGGAACCUGGGAGAAGUAUUUUUUUAAGAAUGAAAUGGGGAAAUAAGGACUCAUCUGGGUUCCUUGGGGGUUGGGUUUGCCUUGUUCUUUGGGUUUGAAGACGACUCGCCAACAAACGGAUUCUCCAUGCAGAGCUGUGGCCCGCAGUUGGAUGGUCUGCUCGCUAACAGACCUUAUAGAGAAGCUGGGAAAAGUGAAUUUAUGAGUGAUGUGCCGUGCAUGUAACUUCAGAUGAGGCAGUGGCCUUGCUUACUCAGUCUGAACGAAGGCAGGCAACCUGCCACUUUUAUUCCUCUUGGCUCCUUCCAAAAUGCUUUUGCCCUUUCCACCAGCCUCCUUGCCAGGAGAGGGCUCCUCCCCGCCAGGGAAAUGGGGCUUCCACCCAGGCUAGGCCAUGUGGGGAAUGAGAAGGGAUAUCCCUUCCUUCUCUCUAUAUGGACAGCUUCUUCCUCUCCUGAUAGGUCCUGAGGCUUUUCUUGGGGUUGCUGGGAAAGGGGGCAGGUUCAUUUGGUGGCAGAUGUGGGGAGAAGGCAGCAGGCUGCACCUGCUGGGAGCCCCAACUCGCUGAGGGUCCGUCUUGCCUCACAUGGAGUUGGCUGCGGAGGAUGGACACAGUGGAAAUCUCUGCAAAAGACACCAACCGCUUGGAGCCACUGUCCAGUCACCAUCAUUUCAUAGUGACUAUUUUUUUUUUUUUUGAUAUGGAGUUGCGCUUUUGUUGCCCUGGCUGGAGGGCGAUGGUGUGAUCUCGGCUCACCACAACCUCUGCCUCCUGGGUUCAAGCGAUUCUGCCACAGCUUCCUGAGUAGCUGGGAUUACAGGCACAUGCCACCACACCCGGCUAAUUUUGUAUUUUUAGUAGAGACGGGGUUUCUCCAUGUUUGUCAGGCUGGUCUCGAACUCCCAACCUCAGGUGGUUUGCCAGCCUCGGCCUCCCAAAGUGCUAGGAUUACGGUGUGAGCCACCCGCCCCGGCCCAUAGUGACUGUUUUAUAGAAGAUGUUACUGAAGAUGUAUCUCUGCAGCCUGACAGCCCCUAGCUGACGGUGGUCUCCCCCUGGGCCUGUGCGUGCGUGUGUUCAGCCAGGCCCGCGGAGGAAACGCCAGGCAGCCAGGAGGAUGCGAAGGCGGGGAGAGGAGGGGAGGACGCGCUGUCCAGCCUCUCGCUCUGCUCCUGGACGAGUUGUUCUUAACCACGGACAAAUUCAAGGGUCCAAGGUUCCCCUGGUUGGGAACAAACUGCAGCUUCCUUUUUCUGACCUCUGACCCGUAACGGAAUUUAGCAUCUCCUUCCACUGCGGGGUGAGCAUCAGACCACGUGGUCACGACAGAAGCCCUGGACACCUGCACACGGUGUUACAGCUAUUCAGAAAUACUGCUCAUGCUCAUGGUGCUUCCACGUGCCCAGUUCACUAGACUUGCUGCCAGUUCUUGCUGUUUAAGGUGUUGAAGUAGCCCGUCUAUUCUUCUGACAGAAGCGUAAUGACCGUCUUGAUAAUUCUGUAUGUUUUAGUAUCAUUGGUCUCCUUCGGAACUCUCCCCACCUUGUGUUUUCUUUAAUGCAUUUAAAAACAUUCUUCUGAGAAGGAGUCGAUAGCUUGCCACACAGUCAUAAAAGAUUAGGAGGUUUCUUUUGGCUUUAUUUUUAAACGCUGUAUUUUUAAUUUUUAUAGAUGGGGCCUCACUCUGUUGCCCAGGCUGGAGUACAGUGGCACAAUCAUAGCUCACUGCAGCCUUGACCUCCUGGGCUCAAGUGAUCCUCCCGUCUCAGCGUCCCGAGUAGUCGGGACCACAGGUGCCUGCCGCUAUGUCUAGCUAACUUUUUGUUGUCAUUUUGUAGAGAUGGGGUCUUGCUAUGUUGCCGAGGUAGGUCUCAAACUUCUGGCCCUAAGAGAUCCUCCUGCCUCAGCCUCUCGAAUAACGGGAUGAUAGGCAGGAGCCAAUACACCUCGCUUUACUUUAUUUAAAUAAAGUGAAUUUUGAUUUCAAAGUACUAUUGUUUGCUCAUUGUAGGAAAUACAGAUCAAUUAAAAGAUAAAACACCCACAUGACUCUCUGCGCUCAAAUGCACUGCAAAGGAUUUGGGGUCAAUCUUUCCUUACUUGAAGGGGCCCUAGUAUGCAUAGUGUUUGUCACCAAUUUAUUACAAACCUCUUCCCAUGUUAAAGAGUUUCUGCUCUACUAUUCCUUCAGAAUGACCUACUUUUUCAAGGCAUGGAGUGAGCUUUCAUCUCCAGGGUAUAUGUCCAACCUCUUGCUGUUUAGACAGUGAUCUUUAUGAAGUGAUAUUUAUCUUAUAUUCAUGAGUCAAUAUUUAUUAAGCCUGAGAAGAUUUGUCUUUUAAUCUAUAAAUCAGGCUUUUGUUUGUUGCUGGCAAUACCGUGAGACACAUAAAUUAAAAAAUCAAAAUUGAACCUUCAGAGUAAUCAGCUGGGGUGGUUGCUCAUUCAUGAAAUCACUCAACCAAGGCCGGGCACGGUGGCUCACGCCUAUAAUCCCAGCACUUUGGGAGGCCGAGGUGGGUGGAUCACGAGGUCAAGAGAUCGAGACCAUCCUGGUCAACAAGGUGAAAACCCGUCUCUACUAAAAAUACAAAAAUUAGCUGGGCAUGGUGGCGCGUGCCUGUAGUCCCAGCUACUCGGGAGGCUGAGUCAGGAGAAUUGCUUGAAUCCAGAAGGCGGAGGUUGCGGUGAGCCGAGAUCGUGCCAUUGCACUCCAGCCUGGGUAACAAGAGCGAAACUCCGUCUCAAAACAAAAACAAAAACAAAAGCUGAAAUCACUCAACUGACACUUAGGAGCCAGCAGGAUGCCAGGGAACUGCCCUGCCUUCCCCAC
rnacentral:lncRNA from 1 species